AGAGUUUGAUCCUGGCUCAGGACGAACGCUGGCGGCGCGCCUAACACAUGCAAGUCGAGCGAAGAGGCCCCUUCGGGGGUACUUCAGCGGCGGACGGGUGAGUAACAGGUGGGUUACCUGCCCCUGAGUUCGGAACAACCAUUGGAAACGAUGGCUAAUACCGGAUGCGGCCACGGCCAAAGCCUUCGAACGUAAGUCCGAGGGCGCUCAGGGAUGGGCCCGCGGCGGAUUAGGUAGUUGGUGAGGUAACGGCUCACCAAGCCGACGAUCCGUAGCUGGCCUGAGAGGGUGGUCAGCCACACUGGAACUGAGACACGGUCCAGACUCCUACGGGAGGCAGCAGUUGGGGAUCUUGCACAAUGGGCGAAAGCCUGAUGCAGCGACGCCGCGUGAGCGCUAAGGCCUUCGGGUUGUAAAGCUCUUUUCGGAGGGAAGAAAGCCUGGGAUCCGUCCCGGGUCUGACAUGAGCUCCGGAAUAAGCCCCGGCUAACUACGUGCCAGCAGCCGCGGUAAUACGUAGGGGGCGAGCGUUGUCCGGAAUCACUGGGCGUAAGGGGUCCGUAGGCGGCCGGCUAAGUCGCGCGUGAAAGCCCCAGGCUCAACUUGGGGAGUGCGCGCGAUACUGGUCGGCUUGAGGGCAGGAGAGGCAAGCGGAACGUUGCAAGUAGCGGUGAAAUGCAUUGAUAUGCAACGGAACACCGAUGGCGAAGGCAGCUUGCUGGACUGUUCCUGACGCUGAGGGACGAAAGCCAGGGUAGCGAACGGGAUUAGAUACCCCGGUAGUCCUGGCCGUAAACGAUGGGUACUAGGUGUUGGUGGUAUCGACCCCUCCAGUGCCGCAGCUAACGCAUUAAGUACCCCGCCUGGGGAGUGCGACCGCAAGGUUGAAACUCAAAGGAAUUGACGGGGGCCCGCACAAGCGGUGGAGCAUGUGGCUCAAUUCGAUGCAACGCGAAGAACCUUACCAGGGUUUGACAUCCCCGGUAUUCCCUGGAAACAGGGAAGUGCCUUCGGGAACCGGGAGACAGGUGGCGCAUGGCUGUCGUCAGCUCGUGCCGUGAGGUGUUGGGUUAAGUCCCGCAACGAGCGCAACCCUCAUCGCCAGUUGCCAGCACGUAAUGGUGGGGACUCUGGCGAAACUGCCUGAGUAAUCAGGAGGAAGGUGGGGACGAUGUCAAGUCCGCAUGCCCCUUACACCCUGGGCUGCACACAUGCUACAAUGGAUGGCACAAAGGGCUAGCCAACCCGCGAGGGUGCGCGAAUCCCAAAAAAACCAUCCUCACUUCGGAUUGGAGUCUGCAACUCGACUCCAUGAAGUCGGAAUCGCUAGUAACCGCAGGUCAGCAACACUGCGGUGAAUACGUUCCCGGGCCUUGUACACACCGCCCGUCACACCACGAAAGUCGCCGAGCCCGAAGCCAGUGAGCCAACCCUUAGGGGAGGCAGCUGUCGAAGGUGAGGCUGGCGAUUGGGGUGAAGUCGUAACAAGGUA
rnacentral:rRNA from 1 species